rnacentral:rRNA from 1 species
UACGUAGGGGGCGAGCGUUGUCCGGAGUUACUGGGCGUAAAGGGCAUGCAGGCGGUCGGACGCGUUUCGGGUGACAGCGGGUGGCUUAACUACCCGAGUGGUCGAAAGACGGUUUGACUUGAGGACGCGAGAGGGACACGGAAUUCCGGGUGGAGUGGUGAAAUGCGUAGAGAUCGGGAGGAACACCAGUGGCGAAGGCGACUUUCUGGCCUGUUCUUGACGCUGAGGCGCGAAAGCUAGGGGAGCAAACGGG